rnacentral:rRNA from 1 species
UACAGAGGGUGCGAGCGUUGUCCGGAAUCACUGGGCGUAAAGGGCGUGUAGGUGGUUUCGUAAGUCUGGCGUGAAAUUUUUCGGCUUAACCGGGAAAGGUCGUCGGAUACUGCAGAACUAGAGGACGGUAGAGGCGUGUGGAAUUCCGGGUGUAGUGGUGAAAUGCGUAGAGAUCCGGAGGAACACCAGUGGCGAAGGCGACACGCUGGGCCGUACCUGACACUGAUGCGCGACAGCAUGGGGAGCAAACAGG